rnacentral:rRNA from 1 species
GUGGGGAAUUUUGGACAAUGGGGGCAACCCUGAUCCAGCCAUCCCGCGUGUGCGAUGAAGGCCUUCGGGUUGUAAAGCACUUUUGGCAGGGAAGAAACAGCCUGGGCUAAUAUCCCGGGCGACUGACGGUACCUGCAGAAUAAGCACCGGCUAACUACGUGCCAGCAGCCGCGGUAAUACGUAGGGUGCAAGCGUUAAUCGGAAUUACUGGGCGUAAAGCGUGCGCAGGCGGUUCGGAAAGAAAGGUGUGAAAUCCCAGGGCUUAACCUUGGAACUGCACUUUUAACUACCGGGCUAGAGUACGUCAGAGGGGGGUAGAAUUCCACGUGUAGCAGUGAAAUGCGUAGAGAUGUGGAGGAAUACCAAUGGCGAAGGCAGCCCCCUGGGAUGAUACUGACGCUCAUGCACGAAAGCGUGGGGAGCAAACA